GAGGUAUGGGACUGUAGGUAUAGAGGUAUGGGACUGUAGGUAUAGAGGUAUGGGACUGUAGGUAUAGAGGUAUGGGACUGUAGGUAUAGAGGUAUGGGACUGUAGGUAUAGAGGUAUGGGACUGUAGGUAUAGAGGUAUGGGACUGUAGGUGGAGGUAUGGGACUGUAGGUGGAGGUAUAGAGGUAUGGGACUGUAGGUGGAGGUAUAGAGGUAUGGGACUGUAGGUGGAGGUAUAGAGGUAUGGGACUGUAGGUGGAGGUAUAGAGGUAUGGGACUGUAGGUGGAGGUAUGGGACUGUAGGUGGAGGUAUAGAGGUAUGGGAUUGUAGGUGGAGGUAUAGAGGUAUGGGACUGUAGGUGGAGGUAUAGAGGUAUGGGACUGUAGGUGGAGGUAUAGAGGUAUGGGACUGUAGGUGGAGGUAUAGAGGUAUGGGACUGUGGUGGAGGUAUAGAGGUAUGGGAUUGUAGGUGGAGGUAUAGAGGUAUGGGAUUGUAGGUGGAGGUAUAGAGGUAUGGGACUGUAGGUAUAGAGGUAUGGGACUGUA
rnacentral:lncRNA from 1 species